UGCAUUUGAAAAUGUCAGGAAUUAUUCACAAAAUUGAAGAGACUCUCCACAUGGGAGGCCACAAAGACGAGCACAAAGGAGAGCACCACAAAGAUGAUCAUCACCACAAGAAGGAUGAGCAUAAAGGUGAGCAUCACAAGCACGAGGGCGAACACAAGGAAGGUAUGAUCGACAAGAUCAAGGACAAAAUCCAUGGCGAUGGUCACAAAGAAGGAGAGAAAAAGGAGAAGAAGAAGAAGGAAAAGAAGAAGCAUGAGGACGGCCAUAAACAUGGUCAUAGCAGCAGCAGUGAUAGCGAUAGCGAUUAAUUAAUGAAUGGUGAUCCUCUCAUUAUAUACCUAAUUAU
rnacentral:lncRNA from 1 species